rnacentral:rRNA from 1 species
UUGAACGCUGGCGGUAUGCUUUACACAUGCAAGUCGAACGGGCUAUGGGGCUUGCUCCAUAGUUAGUGGCGAACGGGUGAGUAAUAUAUCGGAACAUGUCCGGAAGUGGGGGAUAACGUAGCGAAAGUUACGCUAAUACCGCAUAUGCCCUGAGGGGGAAAGGGGGGGAUCGCAAGACCUCUCGCUUUCGGAGUGGCCGAUAUCGGAUUAGCUAGUUGGUGAGGUAAAGGCUCACCAAGGCGACGAUCCGUAGCUGGUCUGAGAGGACGACCAGCCACACUGGAACUGAGACACGGUCCAGACUCCUACGGGAGGCAGCAGUGGGGAAUUUUGGAGAAUGGGGGCAACCCUGAUCCAGCCAUUCCGCGUGAGUGAAGAAGGCCUUCGGGUUGUAAAACUCUUUCGGCAGGAACGAAACGGUGAGCUCUAACAUAGCUUGCUAAUGACGGUACCUGAAGAAGAAGCACCGGCUAACUACGU